GACGAACGCUGGCGGCGUGCCUAAUACAUGCAAGUAGAACGCAGUUUCGAACGGGUGAGUAACGCGUAGGUAACUGCCUCAUAGCGGGGGAUAACUAUUGAAAACGCUAGCUAAUACCGCAUCCUUUGCGUUGGACCUGCGUUGUAUUAGCUCGUUGGUUAGGUAAAGGCUCACCAAGGCGACGAUACAUAGCCGACCUGAGAGGGGGAUCGUCCACACUGGGACGGAGACACGGCCCAGACUCCUACGUGAGGCAGCAGUAGGGAAUCUUCGGCAAUGGACGGAAGUCUGAUCGAGCAACGCCGCGUGAGUGAAGAAGGUUUUCGGAUCGUAAAACUCUGUUGUUAGAGAAGCGGUAUCUAACCAGAAAGCCACGGCUAACUACGUGCCAGCAGCCGCGGUAAUAC
rnacentral:rRNA from 1 species